GCGCGUGCGCACUGUUAUUCUGGGCGGGGAAUCUGGCAGCCGCGAGGGACAAAGACCAGUAAGAGACGGAGGAAAGGAAGAAGCUUCCUGAAGGUGGAGUAGGAGGGAGAAGUUGGAAGGGCGACUUUCUUAGCCAAGUGAAAGGCAGUGUGGUAGAAGUUAACGAGGGAAAAUGUUGCGAAAAGACAGGGCAGGUAGAAAGAAAUGGAGUAGUGUUUUCAUUAUGAGUAGAGGAGAAGAGAGAUGAGUGCUGUUUUAGUAUGAAAUGUAGGUGCGGGCAGAGGAAUCUUUUUUUUGUGCAGCACGUGACGAAAAUAAAACCAAAAAGAAGGUUGAAAACUGGAUGACAAGGAUUUUGAAUCCUAGGAAAGACUCAGGGAUCCAAGAUUCUACCAUCCUCUCAUUUGACCUCCACAGUCAUUGAAGAAAGGGAAGAGAGGACUUUGGAAUCAUAUAAACUAUUAGGUUAAACCUGAAUGUCAGUCAUUUGCUCCUCCUGGAAUACAGCAAGUGGAAGCAGACCCUGUGCCUCAGCAACUGCAGGUGGAGUCCUGCAGACCUACCAACCAUGGGAGGGUACAGGCACACACAGGUGAUCAGCUCUGCCUGGUGUCCAUGGAGUAAAAUAAGUUAAAACACACACAAGAAGAGGAAAUGUUGACUUAGACAUCCAGGGAAGAUGAUGUGAAGACAGAGAAGUCAGUCAUCUAUAAGCCAAGAGAUCAUCCUCAGAAGAAACCAAACCUGCUGAUAUCUUGAUCUCAGACUUCUAGCCUUCAGAACUGACAAGACAUUCCAGGAUUGUCUUAUAAAAUACUCACUUAAUGAUUCUUCAGUGGUAUCUAGACUAUGGUCACAGUGAAAGAUCCUGUAGCUGUAAACAAUAGAUGACACAGCCAUAGUUGGCUGAAUCUGUGGUUGUCUGAACUGGUGGAUGUGGAACCAAUGGAAAUGAGCCAUUGAUGUAGAGUGACACAGAGCAGAAGAUAUCUUCAGAAAUCAGGUUCCACUUUUGGAUGAAAACCAUGUGUUAGCAAGGUGCAGGAAGAGAGCAGAAGUAUAAGACACAGAGAGGAAGCUGACUGUCCCUUGAGCAGGUUCAAGCUAGCAUGGGAAGAGCUGGGCUUGUUUAUAAACUGAGAUGAAUACUCCAUGGAAAAGGAGUAACUGAAGAAGAGAGACAACAGUAGAGACAAGGAAAAUAACCGAUGGAUCAAAUCCCAGAGGAGGCCCUUUUACUUAUCAAGCAACUGGAUACCACUGAAUUCAUUGGAAGAUGUUUUAUGAGAACAAUAUCAGAUCUUAAAAAAAAUAUUUAAAAUGGAGGAAGGGUAGGGGACAGAACUGAGCAUGGCAAUUUAUUCAUACGUAUCCCUGCCAUCAAAAAGUUGAUCUAAAUUGAAUUUCUAAUCCUGGACUGCAGGAAGCAUUCCCCGAUGCCCCAUAGAAUGAGAUGUCCUUAUCUGUGCUCCACUGACAUGUGCCUUCAACUCCAUCAUGGCUCUUAUGGCUUGCUUUGUUUGUUUUGCCAGGUGUGUUGUCAAUUCAAACCACCAAUAAAGCAGGGACUAGA